UACAGAGGGGGCAAGCGUUGUUCGAAAUUACUGGGCGUAAAGGGCGCGUAGGCGGCCCGCUAAGUCGAACGUGAAAUCCCCGAGCUCAACUCGGGAACUGCGUCCGAUACUGGUGGGUUUGAAUCCGGGAGAGGGAUGCGGAAUUCCAGGUGUAGCGGUGAAAUGCGUAGAUAUCUGGAGGAACACCGGUGGCGAAGGCGGCAUCCUGGACCGGCAUUGACGCUGAGGCGCGAAAGCUAGGGGAGCAAACGGG
rnacentral:rRNA from 1 species